rnacentral:rRNA from 1 species
GAUGAACGCUAGCGGGAGGCUUAAUACAUGCAAGUCGUACGGCAAGGUUUCUUCGGAAACCCUAGAGUGGCGAACGGGUGCGUAACACGUAUGCAAUCUGCCUUUAUCCGGGGAAUAGCCCUCCGAAAGGAGGAUUAAUGUCCCAUAAGAUUAUAGAGUGGCAUCACUCAGUAAUUAAAACUCCGGCGGAUAAAGAUGAGCAUGCGUCCCAUUAGCUAGUUGGCGGGGUAAUGGCCCACCAAGGCGACGAUGGGUAGCUGGUCUGAGAGGAUGAUCAGCCACACGGGCACUGAGACACGGGCCCGACUCCUACGGGAGGCAGCAGUAGGGAAUAUUGGGCAAUGGGCGCAAGCCUGACCCAGCCAUCCCGCGUGCAGGAAGAAGGUCCUACGGAUUGUAAACUGCUUUUGUCUGGGAAGAAAAUUCGAUAUUCAUAUCGAGCUGACGGUACCAGACGAAUAAGCACCGGCUAACUCCGUGCCAGCAGCCGCGGU